AUUGAACGCUGGCGGCAGGCCUAACACAUGCAAGUCGAGCGGAGCGGCGGACGGGUGAGUAAUGCCUAGGAAUCUGCCUGGUAGUGGGGGAUAACGUCCGGAAACGGGCGCUAAUACCGCAUACUAUCAGAUGAGCCUCGGUCGGAUUAGCUAGUUGGUGGGGUAAAGGCCGACCAAGGCGACGAUCCGGAAAUGGGAUGAGAGGAUGAUCAGUCAAACUGGAACUGAGACAUGGUCCAUACGCCUACGGGAGGCAGCAGUGGGGAAUAUUGGACAAGUGGCGAAAUCCUGAUCCAGCCAUGCCGCGUGUGUGAAGAAGGUCUUCGGAUUGUAAAGCACUUUAAGUUGGGAGGCGUUACCAACAGAAUAAGCACCGGCUAACUUCGUGCCAGCAGCCGCGGUAAUUC
rnacentral:rRNA from 1 species